GGAUGAACGCUGGCGGCGUGUCUAAGGCAUGCAAGUCGUACGAUCCUUUAACUUCGGUUUUUUGGAUAGUGGCAAACGGGUGAGUAACACAUUGGUAACCUACCUCGAAGACGUGGACAACCAGCCGAAAGGUUGGCUAAUACACGAUAAAAAUGGGGGGACAUAAGUCAUUCCCAUUUAAAGCUACGGCGCUUCGAGAGGGGCCUAUGGUCUAUCAGCUUGUUGGUAAGGUAAAGGCUUACCAAGGCGAUGACGGAUAGCGGGUGUGAGAGCAUGGCCCGCCUCACUGGGACUGAGACACUGCCCAGACUCCUACGGGAGGCUGCAGUCAAGAAUCUUCCGCAAUGCCCGCAAGGGUGACGGAGCGACGCCGCGUGAUCGAUGACGCUCUUCGGAGUGUAAAGAUCUUUUUUCAGGGACGAACAAAUGACGGUACCUGAAGAAUAAGGGGCUGCUAAACUCGUGCCAGCAGCAGCGGUAAUACGAGUGCCCCGAGCGUUAUCCGGAUUUAUUGGGCGUAAAGCGUGCGCAGGCUGUUUGUUAAGUUAGUGGUUAAAGCCCAGAGCUCAACUCUGGGAAAACUACUAAAACUAAUAAACUGGAGGAUGGAAGAGGUAAGCGGAAUUGCUGGUGAAGGGGUUAAAUCCGUUGAUAUCAGCAGGAACACCAAAUGCGAAGGCAGCUUACUAGAACAUUCCUGACGCUGGAGCACGAAAGCGUGGGGAGCGAAGAGGAUUAGAUACCCUCGUAGUCCACGCCGUAAACGCUGGAUACUAGGCAUUGGAAGUAUCGACCCUUUCAGUGCCGCUUCAACUAAGCUAACGCGUUAAGUAUCCCGCCUGGGGAGUACGGCCGCAAGGGCUAAAACUUCAAAGGGAAUUGACGGGGACCCGCACAAGCGGUGGAGCAUGUGGUUUAAUUCGACAUUAAGCCGAGGAACCUCACCAAGGCUUGACAUCUAGAUCUCGGGUAAUGCGAGAGUGCGCAAGGAACUAGGUGACAGGUGCUGCAUGGUUGUCGUCAGCUCGUGUCGUGAGAUNGUACGGUUAAGUCCGGUAACGAGCGCAACCCUUAUCCUAUGUUAUAUAGUCAUAGGGACUGCCAUCUUAAGUGGAGGAAGGAGAGGAUGACGUCAA
rnacentral:rRNA from 1 species